UCCUGCUCCACUUCCCCAAGAAACCGAUCCUGCUGGAGUGGACUAGUCGGAGCAGAGGUCCUUCCGUCGACGAAUCCAGCGGCGGCGGCCGGUGAGCUUGUUUCCAAGGCGCCUUGAGUCAACUCAGUGAGCAAGCAGUUUCAAGAUUGAGUAGGAGUGUCGUGUCGCUUGCUUCAUUUGAUGGUGAUACCAAGUUACGCGAAUGCACAGGCAUAUGCAUUGAAACCUCAGCUCCUGAUUCUGAAGCUACAAUCCUAACAUCCAGACAGUUGAUUCCACCAACUUGGCCUGCAAGUUUGACGAUUAAAGUACGCCUUUCGAAUAAUCGGAUUGUCACUGGGCGGAUAGAGGAUCCCGGGAUAUAUGUUGAUUUUUUCAUUGUCAACAUCAGGAAUGUGUCUGGAGUUGAUGUCGCAAGUCUUGAUGGUGACAUGCAGUUUGAGCCUCAUACGAAGGUAGUAGCUGUAUGGCGCUGUUUCAAUUCAGGACUUCUAAAGUCCACAAGGGGACUAAAUCUUGCCUCUCCAAGCCUUCUAACCGGUGAGACAA